AGUGAAGAACCAGAGUUUCCAGGUCUUCUGAGUUCACCAUGAGGAAAAUGUCAGGAAGAGAGAAAAGUGGAUGAAGGAUUUGUUCUGCAGCACUGAAAAAAAGCAGUGCAAGGAUUAAGAUGACUUAAUGCCUGAAGCACACAGUUCUGCUACAAGAAAACAGGAACAGUUACUUCUGUGAAGCUCAGUACCAGGGAAUCAAUUGUCAGAAUCUGGUGCCUCUGUCAGCAUGGUCUAUGAAGGAGAUUUAAUGAUGUAGUUCUCCUACCUUUGAUUUCCUGGCAACUAACGUUAGUCAGCAUGAAUACCAUUGCUCAAAAUCAGCACUUAACUGAAGAAACCAU
ensembl:lncRNA